rnacentral:lncRNA from 1 species
AAAAAAAUGCUUUUGAGGAAUUAGUCUAUAUCUUUUCCUGCAUUCAAACAAAACUAUCAUUCUCAUAUCAAGCAGAAACUUCCAAUUCUUGUGACCGGAACUUUGAAAAAUUUCUAGACCAUUGAAAGUCACCCAAACACAGAUAAGAUAAAAAUCCACACACCAGCCCAUCUAGUUUGUGUUAUUGCUGUUUAGUGGUGGCUCCUUGUUGUUGAUUUUAAAAUAAACAACCAUUAUUGAGAUUACUGCACUGUAAUCAAGUAAGCCAGUAGAAAAGAACACCCACUUUAAAAAGUAAAUAGUUGAAAAAGAGCAAGCUGUAUUUUCUAAGAAGGCAGAUAACCUGACUAUGGAAGACAGCGUACAUACAUCUUUUUAAAAAAAUAAUUAAAUCUUCAUUUCAGAGUCUUAUCAGGAAACUAUUUUUAUAGGAGACCAAAAAUAAGCUUGUUUACCCAAAAAAGUCAGAGAAGGAGCCCUUUCCUGCAUUUUGUGAGUGUUGAGCUUUAGACACAGGACUAAGUGACCCUGGAACCAUGUAGUGCCUUUAAGAAAAAAAUGCCAUCACCUGAAAACAGUUAAAUGUAAAAAUGCAAUCUAUCAAUGGAGGUAACUUUGUUUUUCCCUCAAUAAGGCUUAACUUUUUGAACAAAUGGGACAUUUAUAGCAUCUUAGAAAACCUAGAUGUUGUCAUUAAUCAUAAAACAACCAAAAUGAAAUAAACUGAACUGGGAAUGAUUCCCACAACAGAAUGGGAAAACAGCUAAGGGACUACCAGAAAUGGAAAGAAUACCUUUUAUUUGUAAGUUACUGAAUACUAUUUGGUACACUCUUCUAACAGAAGCCCCAACUCAGAUUUUGCUGUGGUUGGCUGGCUUGUUGUAGUACUGUGGGGUGAAAUUUGUGUUGACUAUUUAAUUUCUUUCCUUUUGAUGGUAUCACUCUGGAAUGCCUCGGCCUCCAUGCUGCUCAUUCUCCAGCUCCUAUAAACUGAAACUAUUGAUUCUCUGAGGGCUAGAGACCAAGUGUCAAAGCUGGAAGCCGAUAUUUUAUGUCAGAAAUUCCAUAGGGUAUAUUUGUUUUAAAUCGUGCUUAUUCCAUCUAGCAGUCUUCCCACACCCAAGAUCUGUAGGCUUCAAAUAUAUUCUCAAUUUAUAAUAUAGGAACAAUGAUUCCAUAGCCAGCAAGAGAAGUGCUGGUCUAAAUGAGGAGUGGUCAUCAUACUUUGAACUCUCUUGACUUAACAGUAAUUAAAGAAUAGAAAUUACAGAUUUCCCGUGUGUGCAUGUCACCCUUUUUAACAGAUUGAUUUUUGCAGGACAAAUCACUGCACCCAAAUUCUGUAUGACCUUCCAAAGAGGAAAGAACUCAGACUGAGAAGCCAAUUGUUCAGCUUUCUGGGGGCUUUAACUGCAACUUGUACUGGUCUUUGGAAUUAUAUACAAACAGGAAUUCAAGGAUAACAUCCCUCAAUUUUUGUUUUGACCAUAUCUAGCAUCCCAAUAAAAAAGGAUCCAGUGAACCUACAUCUGGCAACAUUCAAGAAAGAAAGGAAGGGAGACAGUUCAAAGCAUCUGUUUACUCCAUCCAAAUGUAUUUGGAUGCAGGUAUUCUGAGCCUCUGUCCUUUACAGUAAGAGUAAAACCACAGAGCAUAUACAGCAAUUAGAGCUGAGACCAUCCAGAUCUAUCUGAAACAUUUAGAGACAAAAGAAAAAAUUUCAAAUGGAGUAGGACUUAGAUGGUUAAGGGAAGGGGAAAAAAAAAAAAAAAAAGACUGAAUUUCCAUGAGAAAUACUGACUAAAUUCACACGGUAAACAUCUCCUUGAUGUUUUGUUUUGUAUUCUGAUUUAUGGUCAUUAGAUGCAACUUCUUAGGUUUAAGAUGGCAAAGAUCUGAGCUACAUAACUAAUUGGACAGACUAAGGGAAGUAUAUCAAAAAUUAUUAGAUUUAACUUUCAUUAAAAAUAGCAAUUGAUCUUUGCUUCACUUUCUUAAACCUGAAACUUUUGCACUUGAUUUGUAACAAGUUUGUACAGUUUUGUUGUUAUUUAGAAAGGAAUCCAGUGUUCUGCACAGAACCUGACUGGCCUCAUCACAUGGCAUUACAACAAAACACUACACCCAAUAAAUGCAUUUCUUUCAGGCAAAAACAUUACAAAUGAAAAUGUCAACAAAACCAUUCAUUCCUGUUAACCGUUCUUCAAUCUGGAAUAAGUAGAAAUGUAUGGAACCAGGAAUUUUAAACAGUGUUUUUAAUUGAAAAUAAAGCUAAAGCAUGCUUUUCAACAGUGCAAAUUUCCAUAAUUUUGAUUUACUGCUUCCAUCAUCACAACAUAGUACACCAGCAUGGCCCUUACCAAGGGCUAGACCCUAGCCAUUUGCAUGUUGAACUACUUUGAUUUUAAGUGCAAAUAUAGAUAGUCACCUCUGAUUGUCACUUGCAGUAGAAACUCUCCUGCUUUAUUCACAGGAUGGUCUGAAAACAGAAGUUUAGAGAGAUGCAGAAAAAGUAAAAGGUAAUAAAAUCCAAGUGCCUGAGUUCUGGUACCAAAGAGCCCUGAAAGAACUUAUUUUUUCAUAUGGGGUAUUCUUACAACUCUGACCCAUUUUACUUCUCUUGGUUGUAUUUACUGCUUUGUCACUAUGUCAGACCAUAAAAUAUCCUGCUAUUAAGAGAACUCUUUUAAUUGUUUUGCAAGUUUGAGGAGUCAAACUUGAGGAGUCAGACCACAAGGUAAGGUAAGCAGGACAAUAGUGAGAAAGAGUCACCUUAUUUAAAACCUUUGGGUGAGAACACAAAAAGGACUUUUCCAAUUGCUAGGAGUGACUGUAAAACUAAAAUCACACCCUUUACCAAAAAAAAAAAAAAAAAAAAAAAGAAAGAAAGAAAGAAAGAAAAGAAAGAAAGAAAGAAAGAAAGAAAAGAAAUCUCAUAUUUAUUUUACUCAGUAUAUAUGAGGCAGCUGUUAUCAGCAUUCAAGCAGGACUCCCCAAUCUUUCCACUCAAAAAAAAAAAAAAGAAAAGAAGGAAGGAAAGAAAGAAGAAAGGAAGGAAGAAGGAAGGAAAAUGAAGUGCAACUACUCUUGGAAAAGGAAUGAGGGGAGAAAAAGGAAAAGGUAUCCCACAAACAAGAGCUCCAGAAAAGAACAUUUGGGCUCGCAGAAACUUCUUUCUACCUCACUGUGUAACCAUGUAACCUAACAAACUUUCACUGAAUUAACAGUUACACUUUCAGGUCUGAAAUCUAGUGCAUAAACUUAAUGGCUCAUUGUAAUAUUUAUUAUUCAACCUUUUGACAUUUAUUUGUAGCAGUUGAAUUGAGGUACCGGGUGCAUUAUUAGCAUUGAAACAGUAAAGUGUUCCAGCUCUACCUUAAUAACUGAGUUUUACUUGAGUCUUUAGCCUGAAGUAGUCUGUGGAAUGUAAACCAACCCCUCUCCCACCCCGCCCCCACCCCACCCCAAAAAAAAAAAAAAAAAAAA